CUGAAUUUUCAAAAGGAUUAUUUAUAAUAGAGAAUGAAAAAAUGAAACAAAUAAAUAAAUUGUAACUUCUUCCUAUAUUUGCGAAACUGUUAUAUAUAAUAGAGAAUGAAAAAAACAAACAAACAAUGAAUCAAAACUUCUUCCUUAAUUUGCAAAAUGAUUACAUAUACCCUCUCUCCCUCUCUGGAUGUGUUAUCCAACACAUC
rnacentral:lncRNA from 1 species